CACACACACACACACGAACGAAGACAGCCUGAGUCACCAUGGAGACAGGUCAACAAGGUGGUGGUGGAUUGUAGAGAGAGCAUUCCAGAGGCACUAACAGAACAGCCCCACUCAGAGAGCCGUCUGUGUGUGUGAGCAGAGUGCUGUGACUGUGUGUGUGUGAGAGCAGAGUACUGUGACUGUGCGUGUGCGUGUGUGUGUGUGUGUGUGUGUGUAGAGUACUGUGACUGUGAGGGGAAAGUUAGAGAGGUAACACUGUAGUGUAGCCUGGCUAAAAGCAGGAAGUACUGUGACUGUGAGGGGAAAGUUAGAGAGAGGUAACACUGUAGUGGAGCCUGGCUAAAAGUAGGAAGUAGUGUGACUGUGAGGGGAAAGUUAGAGAGGUAACACUGUAAUGUAGCCUGGCUAAAAGCAGGAAGUACUGUGACUGAGGGGAAAGUUAGAGAGGUAACACUGUAGUGGAGCCUGGCUAAAAGCAGGAAGUAGUGUGACUGAGGGGAAAGUUAGAGAGAGGUAACACUGUAGUGUAGCCUGGCUAAAAGCAGGAAGUACUGUGACUGUGAGGGGAAAGUUAGAGAGAGGUAACACUGUAGUGUAGCCUGGCUAAAAGCAGGAAGUACUGUGACUGUGAGGGGAAAGUUAGAGAGAGGUAACACUGUAGUGUAGCCUGGCUAAAAGCAGGAAGUACUGUGACUGUGAGGGGAAAGUUAGAGAGAGGUAACACUGUAGUGUAGCCUGGCUAAAAGCAGGAAGUAGUGUGACUGUGAGGGGAAAGUUAGAGAGGUAACACUGUAGUGUAGCCUGGCUAAAAGCAGGAAGUAGUGUGACUGAGGGGAAAGUUAGAGAGGUAACACUGUAGUGUAGCCUGGCUAAAAGCAGGAAGUAGUGUGACUGUGAGGGGAAAGUUAGAGAGAGGUAACACUGUAGUGUAGCCUGGCUAAAAGCAGGAAGUAGUGUGACUGUGAGGGGAAAGUUAGAGAGAGGUAACACUGUAGUGUAGCCUGGCUAAAAGCAGGAAGUAGUGUGACUGUGAGGGGAAAGUUAGAGAGAGGUAACACUGUAGUGUAGCCUGGCUAAAAGCAGGAAGUACUGUGACUGUGAGGGGAAAGUUAGAGAGAGGUAACACUGUAGUGUAGCCUGGCUAAAAGCAGGAAGUACUGUGACUGUGAGGGGAAAGUUAGAGAGGUAACACUGUAGUGUAGCCUGGCUAAAAGCAGGAAGUAGUGUGACUGAGGGGAAAGUUAGAGAGGUAACACUGUAGUGUAGCCUGGCUAAAAGCAGGAAGUAGUGUGACUGAGGGGAAAGUUAGAGAGGUAACACUGUAGUGUAGCCUGGCUAAAAGCAGGAAGUACUGUGACUGAGGGGAAAGUUAGAGAGAGGUAACACUGUAGUGUAGCCUGGCUAAAAGCAGGAAGUACUGUGACUGUGAGGGGAAAGUUAGAGAGAGGUAACACUGUAGUGUAGCCUGGCUAAAAGCAGGAAGUACUGUGACUGUGAGGGGAAAGUUAGAGAGAGGUAACACUGUAGUGUAGCCUGGCUAAAAGCAGGAAGUAGUGUGACUGUGAGGGGAAAGUUAGAGAGGUAACACUGUAGUGUAGCCUGGCUAAAAGCAGGAAGUACUGUGACUGUGAGGGGAAAGUU